rnacentral:rRNA from 1 species
GAUGAACGCUGGCGGCGUGCCUAAUACAUGCAAGUCGAGCGAACAGACGAGGAGCUUGCUCCUUCGACGUUAGCGGCGGACGGGUGAGUAACACGUGGGUAACCUACCUAUAAGACUGGGAUAACUUCGGGAAACCGGAGCUAAUACCGGAUAAUAUUUCGAACCGCAUGGUUCGAUAGUGAAAGAUGGCUUUGCUAUCACUUAUAGAUGGACCUGCGCCGUAUUAGCUAGUUGGUAAGGUAACGGCUUACCAAGGCAACGAUACGUAGCCGACCUGAGAGGAUGAUCAGCCACACUGGAACUGAGACACGGUCCAGACUCCUACGGGAGGCAGCAGUAGGGAAUCUUCCGCAAUGGGCGAAAGCCUGACGGAGCAACGCCGCGUGAGUGAUGAAGGUCUUCGGAUCGUAAAACUCUGUUAUUAGGGAAGAACAAAAGUGUAAGUAACUGUGCACGUCUUGACGGUACCUAAUCAGAAAGCCACGGCUAACUACGUG